CACAAAUCCCUCUCUUCCACCCUCUACACAAGCUUUCAUACUAUUUGCCAAAAUGCUCAUUGAGGCAAUAACUCUCUUGCACCAGGCCUUCGAUGAUUACGCUGGAAAAGAAGGAGACAAAACUACUUUGAACAAGAAUGAACUCAGUAAAAUGCUCCAGGAUGAGUUUAACAUAACAUCCAAAUGCAAGGAGGCAGAGCAAUUCUUCAAAGAUCUGGAUCAUGACGGUGAUGGUACCGUUAAUUACCAGGAGUAUGUCACUUUUGUAGUAGUCUUCAGUAUGCUUCUGAAAAAAUGAAUUUGGCCACAUUGCCUCAGAACUUUUGGCCCAAUUUAAUUUGUACUAAAUGUAAAAACUGAGUGAUCCAACUUCACCAGUAAUACAGUAACAUCUAUAACAUGUACAUGUCAUUAUGUGUUCUGAAGAGGAAAACACAAAUUAAUCAUAGAUGGGUUCUUAAAUUGACUCGAGGAACUUGAAAGGUGCCGACUUUGAACAUGUAUCAUAGAUUGUGAAUGCCAGAGGUGACUAAAGAAAUAAAAAUAAAUGUUGUCACAUUUUA